rnacentral:rRNA from 1 species
AUGUGGUUUAAUUCGAUGAUACGCGAGAACUUACCGGGUUUGACAUGCAGGUUGAUCGCGUUGAAAGACGGUUUCCUCUUCGGAGGCACCUGCACAGGUGCUGCAUGGCUGUCGUCAGCUCGUGUCGUGAGAUGUUGGGUUAAGUCCCGCAACGAGCGCAACCCUUAUCCUUAGUUACCAGCACUUCGGGUGGGGACUCUAGAGAUACUGCCCCGGUCAACGGGGAGGAAGGUGGGGAUGACGUCAAGUCCUCAUGGCCUUUAUGCCUAGGGCUACACACGUGCUACAAUGGGCGGUACAAAGGGUCGCGAUCCCGCGAGGGGGGAGCCAAUCCCAAAAAGCCGUCCCAAGUUCGGAUUGGAGUCUGCAACUCGACUCCAUGAAGCUGGAAUCGCUAGUAAUCGCGGAUCAGCACGCCGCGGUGAAUACGUUCCCGGGCCUU